AAGUUUCUAGUUAAUUUAUAAUAUUAAUUUGUCAAAUUAAAGUAUAGUAAACUUU
rnacentral:tRNA from 1 species